rnacentral:rRNA from 1 species
GACAGAGGGUGCAAACGUUGUUCGGAAUUACUGGGCGUAAAGCGUGUGUAGGCGGCCACGUAAGUCGGAUGUGAAAGCCCCGGGCUUAACUCGGAAAGGUCAGCCGAUACUGCGGGGCUAGAGUGCAGAAGGGGCAACUGGAAUUCUCGGUGUAGCGGUGAAAUGCGUAGAUAUCGAGAGGAACACCUGCGGCGAAGGCGGGUUGCUGGGCUGACACUGACGCUGAGGAGCGAAAGCGUGGGGAGCGAACAGG